AGAAGAAACAGUUUAGAUCUCUACAAGCACAUUAAACGAAUUGCAUUAGGCAUUUUCUUUAGCAAAUUAAAAAAGAAUAAAAAGGAAACAGCAGGGAUCCUGAAUGAAGCCUAAAUUUAUAGAAGCGUAAAUUUAUAGAAGAAACUGCUUAGAUCUCUACAUGCACAUUUAGGACGUUGAUGGCAACCCUCCCUCGGAAACAAGAACUCGAAA
rnacentral:misc_RNA from 1 species